UACAGAGGUCUCAAGCGUUGUUCGGAUUCAUUGGGCGUAAAGGGUGCGUAGGUGGCGCGGUAAGUCGGGUGUGAAAUCUCGGAGCUUAACUCCGAAAUUGCAUUCGAUACUGCCGUGCUCGAGGACUGGAGAGGAGACUGGAAUUCAUGGUGUAGCAGUGAAAUGCGUAGAGAUCAUGAGGAAGACCAGUGGCGAAGGCGGGUCUCUGGACAGUUCCUGACACUGAGGUACGAAGGCAUGGGUAUCGAUCGGG
rnacentral:rRNA from 1 species